CAAAGAGGGUGUGAUGGGAGUGGAUUUCAAAGAAGUGAUAUGGCUGAUGUGGGCUGUGGCACCUUGGCUCUAUAUGUCCAUUUAAUUAACCCCUUUGAUACCAGCCCUGAUUAUAGAUACAAAUUUCCUGGGUUAAAGUAAUCUAAAUUAAAAGAUCCCAUCAAAAUUCUAUGUUAAUUUCUGUUCUUAAUGAAUAAGUUAUUUUACGAAAUCCUUCCUAAUUUUCAUAAUUAAUUAAAAUGAACACAAUUUAUUUAUUCGGUCUGAUACCAACCUGGCUGAGACCACCCUUGGUUCUCUGAUCUGAGCUUUUUGUUUUAAAGUUAUCAAGAUUUCAAACUUUUUACCAAAAUUUCAUGUUUAUUUAUGUUGCGGACACUAAUCAAAAUUAAUUAAAAACAAAAGCAGUGUAUUUCAGCAGAAAUAUUGAAACAAAAGGAUUAAUAAUUAUAAGGUUAUUUUAUUAAAUUCUUAAUUAUUUUCUAAAUUGAAACAAAGGCAAUGUAUUUCAACAGAAAUAGGAUAACAAAAGGGUUUUGUAUGUUGUAGAAUUCUUGAUAUUGGACCAAAAGCACAAAUCUGAUGGCUUUGGAAAAAAGACAUGAAGCAUCACUGCUUCACCAUUUUCAUCUAACCAAACACCUUUACAACUCUUUCAGAGAUGCAUGUCUAGCAAAUUAGGAAAUGUUUUUAAUUAUCCAAAUUACUGAUAAUUUAUAGCCUUAAAGGAAGUCAAUAUGACUGCAUUUUUACCAAAUAGUUGUUUUAGUGUGGUAGUACUCCAGUAUGGCCAGAAAGUUAUUUGUACUGACUAAAAGACAAUGAUUUGUUGUUUUUUUUUUGUUUUGUUUUUUUUUUCUUAUUCUAUAAAUUCUAAGUUAUAUAUUUCAAUAAAUCGUAAAUAAAUAAAUUUUUUAAAACAGUAAUUAAAAUUGCGAUAAUGUACAAAUUCUAUUUUGUUUGAAAUCUAAAAGUACAUUUUUUUUUUUUCAAAAGUAAUAAAUUUAUAUAAAUAAAUAAACUUAUCAUUGUUUUUUUUUUCUUUUCAAAGUGCUUUAUAUAAUUAGAAUAAACAUAAUUAUUUCUUUAGCUAUUUAGCUCUUCUAUAACAAAAACCUUCGCUGCCCCACUUUCUUAUUUCAUAUCUUAACCCUCCUCUCAUAAAGCCCUCCACUUGAGUUUGUAGUCUUGCAAGUUGCACAGCAACCUUACUAGUACUGGUAGCACA